UUUUUUUGAGACAGGGUUUCUCUGUAUAGUCUUGGCUGUCCUGGAACUCACUUUGUAGACCAGGCUGGCCUCGAACUCAGAAAUUCGCCUACCUCUGCCUCCAGAGUGCUGGGAUUAAAGGGGUGAGCCACCACGCCCGGCAGAAGGAAACUUUUAAGGGCCUUUUUUAGCCCAUUGGAUAAUUUUUUUCCUGAGCCUGUUUUUCCCAAGUAUAAAAUCACCCUUAAUUUAAUGACUAGGCUCCCUUCAAAAGCUCUCGACUUGGUGUUGAACAUUUAGACCUUAAAUUGCAGCGUGUGUAUUUAAGACGGUGUUGUGCUUUAGGGACAGUUAAUUAUUGUCAUUUAGUCAGAGGAUGGGGAAUGAUCUGAGGGAAGAAUUGGAAGUGAAAAUUGUAUGAAAACUACACGAUUAACAGUGCAUGGGACAAAUAGGAGAAGCACUGUUUCCAGCAGAGUCCAAAGAGUAGUUAGAAGUUAACAUCAGUAAAUUUAGCAUGCAUUUCUGACAUGGAGACAAGCCCAUUGUUUCUCUCUUUGAUGGUCCCAUUUGGAUUCCUUACCUCCUUUGAUUGGAAGUGACAGUAACAUUUGAAAAAGGGGCAGACAUUUUAACUUUUGUAAUUGGUUUUGUUUCUGCCUUCACUGAAUCUCAGUAGCACACUGAGAUUCUUGUAAGUUAUAAACCUAAGUGGAGAAUAAACUAUUAGUCAUUUUAUCCAUUGACAACUGUGGAUUUAAAAAUUCAGCCCUCAAGGUGGGGUCCAGCCCCAGGUAGAACACUGGCUUAGCAUGUCCAGGCCCCUGGAUAUAGUCCCCAGCACCAUCAAAUGAAUAAGACCAAAUUUGGGAUUUAAAUCUACCUCAGAUGACCUAUAGCACCCAGAAAGAAGCUCUAAGCUGGAAAUACUUUGAAAGAAAAUUAAGAGCAAAGCGUCUAGAAUGACUAGUAGGUAAUCUUUUAAGGGGGAAUAUUGGCUUUUAAGUCUUGGUAAAUUCUGGAAACCUAAUUAACCUUUGUUAGUUUAAAGAAAUUCAAUGACUGUCCCCCCCCCCC
rnacentral:lncRNA from 1 species